GGCCACAUAACGUUGAAACACUGUUCUCAUACAAUCACCAAAGUUAAGCAAUGUUGAGCCUGGUCAGUACCUAGAAGUGUGACUGCUUGGGAAUACCAGGAGCAGUAA